rnacentral:rRNA from 1 species
UCAGGAUGAACGCUGGCGGCGUGCUUAACACAUGCAAGUCGAACGGAGUGUGCUUUGAUGAAGAUUCGUCUGAUUCAGCUGUACACUUAGUGGCGGACGGGUGAGUAACGCGUGGGUAACCUGCCUCAUACAGGGGGAUAGCAGCUGGAAACGGCUGAUAAAACCGCAUAAGCGCACACUAUCGCAUGAUAGAGUGUGAAAAACUCCGGUGGUAUGAGAUGGACCCGCGUCUGAUUAGCUUGUUGGUGAGGUAACGGCCCACCAAGGCGACGAUCAGUAGCCGGCCUGAGAGGGUGAACGGCCACAUUGGGACUGAGACACGGCCCAAACUCCUACGGGAGGCAGCAGUGGGGAAUAUUGCACAAUGGGGGAAACCCUGAAUGCAGCGACGCCGCGUGAAGGAUGACGUAUUUCGGUAUGUAAACUUCUAUCAGCAGGGAAGAACAAGUGACGGUACCUGACUAAGAAGCCCCGGCUAACUACGUGCCAGCCGCCGC